GUAGUCAUAUGCUUGUCUCAAAGAUUAAGCCAUGCAAGUCUAAGUAUAAACAAGUUUGUACUGUGAAACUGCGAAGGGCUCAUUAAAUCAGUUAUAGUUUAUUUGAUGAUAAUUCGCUACAUGGAUAACUGUGGUAGUUCUAGAGCUAAUACAUGCAUCACAAGCCCCGACUUCUGGAAGGGGUGUAUUUAUUAAAUAAAAGACGAACGCGGCUUGCCGCUCCUUUGGUGAUUCAUAAUAACUUGUCGAAUCGUAUGGCCUUGCGCUGACGAUGCAUCAUUCAAAUAUCUGCCCUAUCAACUCUUGAUGGUAGGAUAGAGGCCUACCAUGGUUUCAACGGGUAACGGGGAAU
rnacentral:rRNA from 1 species